UACGAAGGGUGCAAACGUUGCUCGGAAUUAUUGGGCGUAAAGCGCACGUAGGCGGCUUGGCAAGUCGGAUGUGAAAUCCCUCGGCUCAACCAAGGAAGUGCAUCCGAAACUGCUGAGCUUGAGUACUUAAGAGGAUCGCGGAAUUCCCGGUGUAGAGGUGAAAUUCGUAGAUAUCGGGAGGAACACCAGUGGCGAAGGCGGCGAUCUGGGAAGAUACUGACGCUGAGGUGCGAAAGCGUGGGUAGCAAACAGG
rnacentral:rRNA from 1 species